rnacentral:lncRNA from 1 species
GGGAGUUUCUGACUGAUAAAAUGAAUCAGAAAAAAAAGCUACUUUUCACUCUAGAGUCCGUGAAAAAUGGAGUAUCUGUCCAACAUGGGUGUUUAAGGAGAUACUAGAAGAAAAUCCCCACCCUACCCAUAUGGGUUUAGUUUUGUAUAUUUGCUCCUUUCAAAAAUCUUGAGGUAGUUAUCACCCCCGUUUUACAGAGAAAAGCAAGAUCUCAAAGUCAUCCUGGUAAUAAAACCUGAAAUCAGGAUUCAGGUUUUCUUUUGUAAUUCAUGAAUGCUUUUAAAAAAUUGCUUCUCAUUAUUAAUAUAUAUAAAAGGACAUUUAAGAGAUAUAUGUAAGUUAUAAAGAAUAAUAAUACCAUGGACACCCUUGUGUGUGCCCAACAUGGAGUUGAAGAAGUCCCCUGAGUGUUCUUCCCCAUUGAAUCUCAUCCUGAUCCCUCUGAGCUAACUUCUAUCUUGAAUUUUACAGCUAUUAUUCCGUUGCUUUCCUGUGUAUAUUUCCAAGCCUUGCACAGUAUAUGUUGGUUAAUUUUGCAUGUUCUCAUUUUUUAUAUACAGGAAUCAUACUGUUAAGUGUUCUGCUAUGUGAUUUUCAUGCUCAGUCCUACACUAGCCUACCUGCCACUGCAUGUGGCUGUCCUUGGAUUGUCCAGGGCUCUAUUGAGAUGGAUCUUUACCUGUGCUUUGAAUCUCAGAUAUUGUGAAUAAAUAUCACCUUUGUUCUUGGGAACCUGAUUAUCAGUUUAACUGUUCUGCCCUAUUGCUUGGGCAUGCUUAUCUCAUCAGUCAUUGGACAUUCUGUUUCUUCUUGUGUUUCUAUUAUUAAAAAUAAUUCUGCCAUGAACGUUCUUGUGCAUGUCUGCUAGUGCAAAUGGGUAGCCAUUUCUGGGUAUUUAUCUAGGCAGGGACUUGCUAGGUAAUGAAUAUGUGAAUGCUUGACUUUACCAGGUAAUGCCAAACUGUUUUCCAAAGCAUUGGCACCAGUGCACUUUGUCACCAGCAGGGCACACAAGUUUCAGUUGUUCCACAUUCAUUUUAUCACUCUUCAUUAUGUGACUUUUUAUCUUGCCAAUUUUGUAGGUAAGUAACAAUUUUUUAUUGUAUCUUAACUUGCAUUUGGAUGAUUGUUAUUAACGAGACUAAACCCCCUUUCAUAUAUUAAC